rnacentral:rRNA from 1 species
UACGUAGGGGGCAAGCGUUGUCCGGAUUUAUUGGGCGUAAAGAGCGUGUAGGCGGCCCGGUAAGUCCGCUGUGAAAGUCCAGGGCUCAACCCUGGGAUGCCGGUGGAUACUGUCGGGCUCGAGUCCGGAAGAGGAGUGUGGAAUUCCUGGUGUAGCGGUGAAAUGCGCAGAUAUCAGGAAGAACACCUAUGGCGAAGGCAGCUCUCUGGGACGGUACUGACGCU